rnacentral:rRNA from 1 species
UACAGGGGGGGCAAGCGUUGUUCGGAAUUACUGGGCGUAAAGGCUCGUAGGUGGCCAACUAAGUCAGACGUGAAAUCCCUCAGCUUAACUGGGGAACUGCGUCUGAUACUGGAUGGCUUGAGUUUGGGAGAGGGAUGCGGAAUUCCAGGUGUAGCGGUGAAAUGCGUAGAUAUCUGGAGGAACACCGGUGGCGAAGGCGGCAUCCUGGACCAACACUGACACUGAGGAGCGAAAGCCAGGGGAGCAAACGGG